rnacentral:lncRNA from 1 species
CUCUCUCACUGGCAGCAACCCAGCGCUUCCAUUGCUGACCUCUACCGACCUCUACCUGUGGUCCUUCCUCUACUGCAGCAGAGACACUGUUUUCUUCCUUUGUUCUUCCAACCCCAUGUGAAUAAACUGACACUGGAACAUUCAGGAACUUCUUCAUGGUCAUGGUCACCCAGCUAGAGUGUGGAAGCCAGGCUGUCUGAUUCCAGGAUCUGUGUUCUUAAUCCUAUACAUAAGGAAGCCAUAAUGAGUCAACCACUAUUUUUAAGAUUCACAGAUGUUCGGGUCCAAUUCACCAGAAUGCCAAGUUAUACAGGGUUGUGGAAUCAAAAACUGCAAUUAGUAAUAAAAUGUGAUGCUAUCUAGAAUGUUUUUCAUACAUAUAUAUGCUUCUUGGGACUCUCCCUGCAGGUUAAGAGAAAUUGAGAAACGAUGGAGAAUUUAAGUGUUUUAGAUCCUACAUACAUUAGACUUAAAAAUAGUAACUAUGUACAUGAGUAUUUGUAAACUUAAGAAUGAACAUAACAUGAACCAUGUGGCACCUAUAAAAUGAAAAUAAAAUACCUACAAACCAAAUGAGAGCAAUAAAAGAAGCUUUAAGGACUUUCACUUCAGGGAGUCUGAAUUAGAUGCGCUUCUUCCCAUUCCUCCCUCUAAUUACAACAAGCUUGGACGUUACAUACAGAACAAACAGAAGGAGUCUCUGAAAGAUGAAGAGAAGGCAAGUAAGCUACAGACUUCACAAUGUAAGGAAUAAUAUGGUGGUGAGUUACAUUUGUGAUUUUUUUUUGUCUCAUAUCCCAUAAUAUCUCAUAUCUCAUAAUCAGUUAGAAAGCACAAUGGAAAAGUAUUCCACUGCCAAUGGUGUUAGAGAACUGCUCACAAAUUCAACAGAAAUGCACAGAUACCAAAGCAGAAAGGACAAUAAACAAGAGUCUUCAUGGUCAAAAGAUUAGAAGCUGCAGCUUUCAAUGGGAGGGACAGGUUCUGGACCACACUGCAGUGCUUUUCUGCUUUCUGUGCUUUCCCACUCUAGAGCUGAAGAAGGUAACGACCCCAAAAUGUCAAUAUACGUAGACCAAAAACCAGCCCCAAUAAAAGUCUGCUCUCUCUAGCCAAAGGACUACAGUAGGGCAGCCCAGCAAGACAGAAAACCUUCAGACAACCUACCCCAGCCAAACACUACCAAAAAAAGUAAAGUGAGCCAUCACCCAAUCCACAUCAGUAAAAACUAAGUGGAAAGUCCAGACUUUCACCUCAAGAGGUUGCGACAAGCUACUCCAAUACCCCUGCUGGGAUAGUGUCACAGAAGGCUAAAUAAGGAGCUGUAAUGUUGAUUCCCCUCCAGAAGUAAAGAGUCCGUACCUGCUAUUUUCAGAGAGACCACAUGGAAAGCCUAGAUUUCAACACCUACCCAGCAUUAAUGAGGUAUUCCUUCCCUUCUUUACUCUCUGGUGUCAAAGAAGCUCCAUGCAGAGUCAGAAUGUUUGGCAUUACUCCUCAGUAGGGAGGCCACCCCCACCACGGUGUUAGUGGAGACCAUGUGAGGACCAGGACUUGUACCCUGCCCAGAAGUAAUGAGUAGACCCCCCUCUACAGGAAGGCCAAAGGGCAACCUAAACUUCUACCUCUCUCUGGCAGUAAUAAAGUAGGGCCUCACUUUUCCCUGCUGAGCAAUGUCAAAAAAAAAAGCCAGCUGAAGUAAAAGCUUAUUUCUUUCUUUCUUUAUACAUAUUUUUGGAGACAGGGUCUUAUUCUGUCACCCACGCUGGAGUACAGUGGCCUCAUCAGGUCUCACUGCAGCCUCAACCUCCUGGGCUCAAGCAAUCCUCCCACCUCAGCCUCUUGAGUAGCUGAGACCACAGAUGUGCACCACCACACAUAGCUAACAUUAACAUUUUUUCUAGAGAUGGGGUCUUCCUGUGUUGCCCAGGCUGGUCUGGAACUCCUGGGCUCAAGUGAUCCUCCCACCUUGACCUCCUGGAGGGCUGGGAUUACAGGUAUGAGUCAUCACUCCAGGCUGAAGCUUUAUAUAAUAACCAGAGUCUCAUAUUACAAAAUGUCAAAGAUUCAGUCAAAAGUUACUUGAUAUCAAUGGACAAGAUCUCAAACUAAAUGAAAAAAAGACAAUUAAUAGAUGCUAACACUGAGAUAACAAAGUUGUUAGAAUCAUCUAACAAAGAUUUUAAAGCAGCUAUAAUAAAAGUGCUACUGCAAGUGAUUAUAAACAUGCUUGAGACAAAUGAAAAAGUGCUAUAAAGCUAAGAAAUAAAAUAUAUAAAUAAGAAUCAAAGAGAAAUUAUAGAACUAAAAGAUACCAUAACUGAAAUGCAAAGCUCCGUGGAUGGACUCAACAACAGAAUGGAAAAGACUGAGGAAAGAAGUAGUUUACAGGAAAUUAGAAUAGACUAGAAAAAAUGAACAAGACCCUGUGCUAAAGAGCAAAUAUUUAUGUCAUUGGAUUCCAGGAAAGAGAAAAGAAUGAAAAAGUACUUAAAUAAUGGCUUAAAAACUUCUCACAUUUUGCAAAGAUUUAAACCUACAAUUUGAGAAGCUGGGUAAACCUUAAACAGGAUAAAUCAAGGACACUCACACCAAGAAACAUAGUAAUUAAACUUCUGAUUAAGGAAGAAAAAGAAAAAUCUGGAAAGCAGCAAGAAAAAAAUGACACACUUUCUAUAUGGUAAAAGCAAUUUGAACAACAGAAGAUUUCUCAUCAGAAACUGUGGGGACCAUGAGGAAGUAACAGAUAUUUUUCAAGUGCUGAAAUAAAUCAACUGUCAAUACAAAAUGCUCUACUCAGUGAAAAUAUCUUUCAGGAAUAAAGGGGAAAUCAGGACACGCACAGACUUUUUUUAAAUUAAGAAUUUAUUGUCAGCUUAUCUCCCUAAAAGAAUGGCUAACAUUCUCCAAACACGAAGGAAAUUGAUAAGGAAUCUUGAAAUUUCAGUUAGAAACAAUGAAUAUGGCAAGCAAAAUGUAGGUCAGUACACUAAGUUUAAUUUCUCCUCUUGAAUUUUCUAAAUUAUGACUUAUGAUUGAAGCAAAAAUCAUAACAUUAUCUGAUGUAUAUGUAGAGGAAAGAUUUAAGACAGUGAUGUUAUAAAUGAGGGGAGUAAAGGAACAUGAGAUAACCACUAAUAUGACAUACCAAUAGACUAUGAUAAAUUAUGUGUCUAAUGUGAUUACUAGAAAAACCAGUUAAAAUAUAAAGAUUGACGGAGUGAAUUUAAAAACAUGACACACUAUAUGCUGUUUAUCAUAAACUCACUUUGAAGAUAAUGCCAUCGUCAGGUUGAAAUCAAAAGGAAUAAAAUAGUGUAUUAUGUAAACCAUCAAAAAGAGCAGGAAUGGCCAUAUUAAUAACAUUAAAGUCAGCUUCAGAACUAAGGAAAUUAUCAGAGAGGGACAUUAUAUAAUGAAAUAGUCGAUUUACCAAAAGAACAUAGCAAUCAUAAAUGUGCAUGAAGCAAACAACAAAGCUGGAAAAUAUAUGAAGUGAAACUGAUAGAUCUAAAAGGAGAAACAGAUAAAUCCAUUCAUUAUAGUUGGGGCCUUUAUCACCCCUCACUCAACAAUUGAUAGAACUGGACAGAAAACCAGUAAGAAUAUAAAAGAACUCAACAACAUGAGACAAUAGGAUCUAGUUGAUAUUUAUAGAACAUUCCAACAGCAGAAUACAUGUUCUUCAAGUGCUCACAGAACACACAUAUAAAGAUAGACCCUGAGCAUAAAACAAGCCUCAACAAAUUUAAAAGAACUGAAAUACUACAAGUACUUUCUCCAACCACAAAAGAACCAAACUAGAAAUAAAUAACAAUGAUAAUGGGAAAAUCACCAAACACUUGAAAACUGAACAACAAUAUUUUAUAACCCAUGGUCAUAGAGGAAAUCUCAAAAGAAAUUUUAAAAAUGCACUGAACUGAAUGAAAAUGAAAACAACAUAAAAUUUGUGAGACACAUAAAGCAGAACUGAUGGGAAAAUAUAUAGCACUAAAUGCAUGCUCUAGAAAAGAAAAGUCUUCAACCAGUAACCUAAGCUUCCACCUCAAAAACCUAAAAAAAGAAGGAAAAAUAGACCCAAUGCCAGCAGAAAGAUGCAAUAACAAAGAGUAGAACUCAAUGAAAUUGAAAACAGAUAAACACUUUAAAGAAUAAAACAAAGAGCUGGUUAUUAGAAAAGAUCAAUUAAUUGAUAAACCUCAAGCAAGACCGUCAAAAAAAAAAAAAAAAGGACUUACCUAUACCAGAGAUGAAAUGGGAUAUCGCUAUCAAUACUGCAAACAUCAAAAGGAUAAGUAGAUACUAUGAACUGUACACACAUUAAUCUGACAAUUUAGACAAAAUAGAUCAUUUCCCUAGAAAACACAAACUACUACAGCUUACCCAAUAUAAAAUAGAUUAUUUGAAUAGCCUUAUAAGUACUAAAAAAAAAUUAAUUAAACUCAUUAUUUAAAAAUUCCUAAAAAGAAAGCCUCCAGAGCCAAAUUGUUUCCUUCAGAAUUCCACCACAUUCAUAAAGAUUUGACAGCAAUUCUAUACAGUCUCUUUGAGAAAAUAGAAGGGGGUAUUUUCUAAUUCAUUUUAAGGAGCUAGUAAAUACCCUGAUACUGAAAUGUAUACUGCAAAUUGAUAAAAUUAUAGACCCCUGCAUAUUAAAUUUCAAAAUAAAAAUGAUAAAAAUACUUGGGUAAUGAAUAACAGCAUAACAAAAAACCACAGACCAAUAUCUCAUGAACAUAGACACAAAAAAUGCUUCACAAUAUGACAUAGAAUUCAGUAAUACAUGAGAAUUAUAUACCACAACCCAGUAAGACUUAAUCCAAGAAUGGAAGACUGGCUCAAUAUUUAAAAAUCAAUCGAUGUAGUGCAAAUAUUAAUAGCUAAUGAAGAAAUGUCAUAAAAUUAAUGCAGAAAAAGGAUUUGACAAAAUUCAACACUCAUUUAUGUAAAAAUGCUCUGAAAAAUAGGAAUUAAAGGACACCUACAAGAAACUUUCAGCUAACAUAAUUCUUAAUGCUGAAUGAUUGAAUGUUUUCUUCCUGAGCUUGAGAAUAAGGUGAGGGUAUCAUCCCUAAUGACGCUUAUUCAACAUAGUGCUCAAAGUUCUAUGAAGUGCAAUUAGGCAAUAAAGGGAAAUAAAAGACAGGUAAAAGAAGAAAUUAAAUUUUAUUUGAAAAAGCUGAUUGUCUACCUAGAAAAUCUCAAGGAAAACACUAUUAAUAUACAGAACAACCUGAAUGAAUCUUUGGAGAAUUACGCUGCAUCAGAAAAAGCCAAUCACAAAAGAUUACAUACUAUGUAAUUCCAUUUGUAUAACAUUUUGAACUGACAAAAGUAUAGAAAUGAACAGAUUAGUGGUUGUUAGGGGUGAGGGGUUAUGGGUCAGAGAUAGGAGUUGGGGAUAUAAAAAGGCAACCUGAGGGAUCCUUAUGGUGAUUGAAACAUUCUGUAUGUUGGUUCUAUCAAUGUCAAUACUCUGGUUGGACUAUGGUUCCACAGUUUUGCAAGAUGUUAUUGAGGAAAACGGCAUAAAUGGUGCCCAGGAUCUCUCUAUUGUUUCUUACUGAUUAUGUAUCUGCAAUGAUUGCAAAAUAAAAAGGUUUAAUUUUUAAAAAGGAUUAAACAUUACAUAGCAUACACUUGAGUAAAAGACAAAAUCUGGCUAAGGAUUAUUUUUGUCCUAAGUAAUAUGUGGAUUUUGUACAACAUAAAUCACAAUCCCCUAAAAUCUAUAUUGUAAAUUGAUAAAAUGUAAAACCUGUGUAUUACAGAAUAAAAGAUGAACAAAAAUUACAAAACA